rfam:Asian citrus Psyllid, Diaphorina citri - Florida Strain, whole genome shotgun sequence.
GCCUAGUUAGCUUAGUUGAUAGUGCGUCUGCCUCGUAAGCGCUAGGCCGCGGGUUCGAUUCCCGCCCGGGGCG